GUUUAAUUUUGGGAUAUAUUUAGUACAAUAAUAAAUUAGACCACCCAUCAGCUAAAUUCCCUCUCCUCUGCACUGCACACCGCUAUUUUGGCGCUAAAGCCACCGCAUUGCAGUUCGGGGCAAGUAGUGGCGUAAAGUUUUGCCCCUUUUUCCCCUCGUUAUCCCCGCUCUGCCCUGGGGCCGGGGAGCCGGGUUUAGUGCAUUGGCCUUAUGCGAGUAUACAUAACUAUAAUAUAACUGUUACCUUAAACUAAAAAUAUAAAUACAUGUAACAGAAGCAUUUUCCGAAAACGUGCAUAACGAAAGUUAACAAAAUGGAAUUCCAAAUGUAUCACAACCUCUCGUUGGUUAUUCUGCACAGACUAAUGUAAAAGUUCGUGAUGUCGGCAAGAACCGGAAAGUUACGAUUACACCAUAUGCAUGUACAUGUAUGUUGGAAUUUCCUAUUUGGAAUUUCCUACAACGGAUCGAAGUUAACAAAAUGGAAUUCCAAAUGUAUCACAACCUCUCGUUGGUUAUUCUGCACAGACUGUUGUAAAAGUCUGUGAUGUCGGGGAAACCGGAAAGUUACGAUUGCAUCAUAUGUAUGCAUGUUGGAAUUUCCUAUUUGGAAUUUCCUACAACGGAUCGAAAGGAAAACUUCAUAUAUCUUCGUGAUAUUGGGAGUAACAGACGUUUUUAUUAUAUAUAAUAAAAGAACCGCAUCUACAAAAACAAUGCUUUUAAAACCAUCGGACAUAUAUUAUUGCCAAAAUUCCAUCAAAAACACAUUUUCGAAUGGGAAAAAAAUCGGAGAGACUCUGGACGAUUUAUGUGAAGGAAGGACGUCUCUGUCAAGCUUCCCAAAGAUCCGGGUGACGCAAAAGAAUUCCAAAUGGUACACAACAGAUAACAGACGUCUUUGGAUUUUUAGACAUCUAUACAGACUGGGUAAAUGCGGGGAAAUUCCGGUGGUCCAGACCGGAGACAUCCCUUCAAGGAAAAUGACUACCACCAAUGGCGGUGUAUCAAUUACAGUCCGCGGUCGAGGCGGACCGGGAGGGGUAUGGCAUGAUAAGGGGACAGAGGACCUAAAAAGGAAAACAAAUGUAUUUCAGUAUGACCAGAAACACAAUUCCAAAUAUUUAAAAAUCUGUUUCACAAGCAGAUAACCAGUUGCACAGCAUUAUUCAAUGAUAUAUGACAUACAUUGAAGAAAAUAAUAGUUUGCAUAAUAAUAAUAAUAAAAAAUUGCUCCUUCAAAAAAUGACUGACAGCAAUUUAUAUUUACCCCCACCAAGCCAAAAUCACACCUAAAAUAUACCAAUAUGGGCAAUCUUCAUGAAGGUGCAGCAUACUCCAGAAUCCGCCCGAUUCCUUUAAAAAUAUCAGUAACACGCAGUGCAAGCUAUGGCAUUUUCAGAAAUGACAAAUAAAGUGUCUGUCAUACGUUUAGAUUUUUCACAAAAUUUAUCUGAAAUUUCUUACUUGUUUGGCGCCAACUGUCAAAGCUAGAUUUUUAACUUUUUUUCACCUCCAUUCGGAGAGUCAGAAAUACAUACUUACAAAGCUACCAAAAUGAUUAGUUUCGGGUAAAAAACAAAAAUAUAUCUCAUUUCCUACACACAAACAAGAAAGAAUUACAAUGACAGAGAAAUAUCAGAAGUUAUCAGUACCUUCAAAACACCAUGUCUGAGUUAUUAAAAAAUUUGACGGGGCCAUCAUUCGAAUAUGUCCCCUGCCCCCUAAGCAUGACGGAGCAGGAAAGAACUUAGAUGGUACCUACGCAUGUACUUGGCCGGAAGACAGUGACUCCGACGAUUUCGGAUAUGAUUUUUCGGAUAACGAGUGUUUCGGAAUGACUUUUGGUAAUUUUUACCAUUUGUUAGACGAGGUGAAGAUACGGUAUUUUUGUUAAACAGAUCAGUUUGUUUUUCGUUUUGUUUUUGUUUUAAACUUCUUAUUUUUAAGCCACGCUUGAUGAAUAUGUUUGAUCGUUACUUAUUUUUUAAAAUCUUUUUUAAGUUAUAAUGAUAUACAUGUAGUUU